rnacentral:rRNA from 1 species
UACGUAGGGGGCAAGCGUUGUCCGGAAUUAUUGGGCGUAAAGAGCGCGUAGGCGGUCCGAUAAGUCGGCUGUGAAAGUCAGGGGCUCAACCCUUGGAAGCCGGCCGAUACUGUCGGACUAGAGUUCGGAAGAGGCGAGUGGAAUUCCUGGUGUAGCGGUGAAAUGCGCAGAUAUCAGGAAGAACACCAAUGGCGAAGGCAGCUCUCUGGGACGGUACUGACGCUGAGACGCGAAAGCGUGGGGAGCGAACAGG